rnacentral:rRNA from 1 species
GACGAACGCUGGCGGCGUGCUUAACACAUGCAAGUCGAACGGUAAGGCCCUUCGGGGUACACGAGUGGCGAACGGGUGAGUAACACGUGGGUGAUCUGCCCUGCACUUCGGGAUAAGCCUGGGAAACUGGGUCUAAUACCGGAUAGGACCACUGCCUGCAUGGGUGGCGGUGGAAAGCUUUUGUGGUGUGGGAUGGGCCCGCGGCCUAUCAGCUUGUUGGUGGGGUGAUGGCCUACCAAGGCGACGACGGGUAGCCGGCCUGAGAGGGUGACCGGCCACACUGGGACUGAGAUACGGCCCAGACUCCUACGGGAGGCAGCAGUGGGGAAUAUUGCACAAUGGGCGCAAGCCUGAUGCAGCGACGCCGCGUGAGGGAUGACGGCCUUCGGGUUGUAAACCUCUUUCAGCACCGACGAAGCGCAAGCGACGGUAGGUGCAGAAGAAGGACCGGCCAACUACGUGCCAGCAGCCGCGGUAA